rnacentral:rRNA from 1 species
UGGGGAAUAUUGGACAAUGGGCGAAAGCCUGAUCCAGCCAUGCCGCGUGUGUGAAGAAGGUCUUCGGAUUGUAAAGCACUUUAAGUUGGGAGGAAGGGCAUUAACCUAAUACGUUAGUGUUUUGACGUUACCGACAGAAUAAGCACCGGCUAACUCUGUGCCAGCAGCCGCGGUAAUACAGAGGGUGCAAGCGUUAAUCGGAAUUACUGGGCGUAAAGCGCGCGUAGGUGGUUUGUUAAGUUGGAUGUGAAAUCCCCGGGCUCAACCUGGGAACUGCAUUCAAAACUGACUGACUAGAGUAUGGUAGAGGGUGGUGGAAUUUCCUGUGUAGCGGUGAAAUGCGUAGAUAUAGGAAGGAACACCAGUGGCGAAGGCGACCAGCUGGACUAAUACUGACACUGAGGUGCGAAAGCGUGGGGAGCAAACA